rnacentral:rRNA from 1 species
GACGAACGCUGGCGGCGUGCCUAAUACAUGCAAGUCGAACGCAGUGGGGACGGGUGAGUAACACGUGGGUAACCUCCCAUCAGAGGGGAUAACACUUGGCAACAGGUGCUCAACCGAUACUGCUGGAGGUAACCUGUGUGCAUUAGCUCGUUGGUGCGGUCACGGCGCACCAAGGCCACGAUCCAUAGCCGACCUGAGAGGGUGACCGGCCACACUGGAACUGAGACACGGCCCAGACUCCUACGGGAGGCAGCAGUAGGGAAUCUUCGGCAAUGGACGAAAGCCUGACCGAGCAACGCCGCGUGAGUGAAGAAGGUUUUCGGAUCGUAAAGCUCUGUCGGUAGAGAAGCGUUAUCUAACCAGAAAGCCACGGCUAACUACGUGCCAGCAGCCGCGGUAAUAC